UACGAAGGGGGCUAGCGUUGCUCGGAAUCACUGGGCGUAAAGCGCACGUAGGCGGCUUUUUAAGUCAGGGGUGAAAUCCUGGAGCUCAACUCCAGAACUGCCUUUGAUACUGGGAGUCUUGAGUUCGGGAGAGGUGAGUGGAACUGCGAGUGUAGAGGUGAAAUUCGUAGAUAUUCGCAAGAACACCAGUGGCGAAGGCGGCUCACUGGCCCGAUACUGACGCUGAGGUGCGAAAAGCGUGGGGAGCAAACAGG
rnacentral:rRNA from 1 species